rnacentral:rRNA from 1 species
UACGUAGGGGGCUAGCGUUGUCCGGAAUCAUUGGGCGUAAAGAGCGCGUAGGCGGCCAGAUAAGUCUGGUGUGAAAGUCACAGGCUCAACCUGUGAAUGCCGCUGGAAACUGUUUGGCUAGAGUCCGGAAGGGGCGAGUGGAAUUCCUGGUGUAGCGGUGAAAUGCGCAGAUAUCAGGAGGAACACCGGUGGCGAAGGCGGGUCUCUGGGCCGAUACUGACGCUGAGGAGCGAAAGCGUGGGGAGCGAACAGG